AUAAUGGGUCAGCGACUUAUAUUCUGUAGCAAGGUUAACCGAAUAGGGGAGCCGAAGGGAAACCGAGUCUUAACUGGGCGUUAAGUUGCAGGGUAUAGACCCGAAACCCGGUGAUCUAGCCAUGGGCAGGUUGAAGGUUGGGUAACACUAACUGGAGGACCGAACCGACUAAUGUUGAAAAAUUAGCGGAUGACUUGUGGCUGGGGGUGAAAGGCCAAUCAAACCGGGAGAUAGCUGGUUCUCCCCGAAAGCUAUUUAGGUAGCGCCUCGUGAAUUCAUCUCCGGGGGUAGAGCACUGUUUCGGCAAGGGGGUCAUCCCGACUUACCAACCCGAUGCAAACUGCGAAUACCGGAGAAUGUUAUCACGGGAGACACACGGCGGGUGCUAACGUCCGUCGUGAAGAGGGAAACAACCCAGACCGCCAGCUAAGGUCCCAAAGUCAUGGUUAAGUGGGAAACGAUGUGGGAAGGCCCAGACAGCCAGGAUGUUGGCUUAGAAGCAGCCAUCAUUUAAAGAAAGCGUAAUAGCUCACUGGUCGAGUCGGCCUGCGCGGAAGAUGUAACGGGGCUAAACCAUGCACCGAAGCUGCGGCAGCGACACUAUGUGUUGUUGGGUAGGGGAGCGUUCUGUAAGCCUGUGAAGGUGUACUGUGAGGUAUGCUGGAGGUAUCAGAAGUGCGAAUGCUGACAUAAGUAACGAUAAAGCGGGUGAAAAGCCCGCUCGCCGGAAGACCAAGGGUUCCUGUCCAACGUUAAUCGGGGCAGGGUGAGUCGACCCCUAAGGCGAGGCCGAAAGGCGUAGUCGAUGGGAAACAGGUUAAUAUUCCUGUACUUGGUGUUACUGCGAAGGGGGGACGGAGAAGGCUAUGUUGGCCGGGCGACGGUUGUCCCGGUUUAAGCGUGUAGGCUGGUUUUCCAGGCAAAUCCGGAAAAU
rnacentral:rRNA from 1 species